rnacentral:misc_RNA from 1 species
GUGAAUCAUCGAAUUUUUGAACGCAAAUUGCACCCUCUUCGGAGAGUAUGCCUGUUUGAGGGCCAGCCUAUAAAAAUCGCCAUCGUUGCUGUUUCGCGGUGGCGUUUGUCGGAUAUCGGGUCAUCUUAAUCCCUUUUGAUUUUAUGCGACUCAACAUUCUCUUUUUGGUUCCAUGAACGUUUCUAAGAUUUAUUCCUUUACACGCUUAAGGCAUCGAUUCUUAUUAGACGUGACUAUCAUAUCGGAUCG